rnacentral:rRNA from 1 species
GGACUGUCGGGGACAGAUUAACAGGAUUAGAUACCCUGGUAGUCCACGCCGUAAACGAUGGAUACUAAGUGUUUGGGAAGUUAACCUCCUGAGUACUAAAGCUAACGCAUUAAGUAUCCCGCCUGGGGAGUACGGUCGCAAGGCUAAAACUCAAAGAAAUUGACGGGGGCCCGCACAAGCGGUGGAGUAUGUGGUUUAAUUCGAAGCAACGCGCAGAACCUUACCUACCUUUAACAUCCCGUGACAACUGCAGAGAUGUAGCGUUCCCUUCGGGGACACGGUGAUAGGUGCUGCAUGGCUGUCGUCAGCUCGUGUCGUAAGAUGUUCGGUUAAGUCCGGUAACGAGCGCAACCCUUGUCCUUAGUUGCCAGCAUUAAGUUGGGUACUCUGAGGAGACUGCCGGUGUUAAACCGGAGGAAGGCGGGGAUGACGUCAAGUCCUCAUGGCCCUUACAGGUAGGGCUACACACGUACUACAAUGGCAGAAACAAACCGUCGCAAAGCCGUGAGGUGGAGCCAAUCGGUAAAACACUGUCUCAGUCCGGAUUGAAGUCUGCAACUCGACUUCAUGAAGCUGGAAUCGCUAGUAAUCGCUGAUCAGCAAGCAGCGGUGAAUACGUUCCCGGGCCUUGUACACACCGCCCGUCACACCACGAAAGUGGGUAUAACCAGAAGUGCGUGAGCUAACCGCAAGGGGGCAGCGCACCAAGGUUGUAGUCGCGAUUGGGGUGAAGUCGUAACAAGGUAACCAAUCU